ACCUCAAAUCAGGUAGGACUACCCGCUGAACUUAAGCAUAUCAAUAAGCGGAGGAAAAGAAACUAACAAGGAUUCCCCUAGUAACUGCGAGUGAAGCGGGAAGAGCUCAAAUUUUGAAUCUGGCAG
rnacentral:rRNA from 1 species